UGCCCAGCAACUCCUAUCCCUACCUCCUCGUGGUACUGGCCGGGGUACGAGUAACCUUGGUGAAGAUCGGGUAACCAACCCCCGGUGGGAACUUUGGUCGUAUGCUGACAGGGAAGG
rfam:Aedes aegypti strain Liverpool supercont1.34 genomic scaffold, whole genome shotgun sequence.